GCCUAGGUGGCUUAGUUGGUUAAGCAUCUGACUCUGGCUCAGGUCAUGACCUAGCAGUCCAUAGGUUUGAGCCCCAUAUAGGGCU
rnacentral:tRNA from 1 species